rnacentral:rRNA from 1 species
AUUGAACGCUGGCGGCAGGCCUAACACAUGCAAGUCGAACGAGUGGCGGACGGGUGAGUAAUGUCUGGGAAACUGCCUGAUGGAGGGGGAUAACUACUGGAACCGGUAGCUAAUACCGCAUACCAUCGGAUGUGCCCAGAUGGGAUUAGCUAGUAGGUGGGGUAACGGCUCACCUAGGCGAAGAUCCCUAGCUGGUCUGAGAGGAUGACCCGCCACGCUGGAGCGGAGACACGGUCCAGCGUCCUACGGGAGGCAGCAGUGGGGAAUAUUGCGCAAUGGGCGCAAGCCUGGGGCAACCAUGCCGAGUGUAUGAAGAAGGCCUUCGGGUUGUAAAGUACUUUCAGCGGGGAUGCGUUACCCGCAGAAGAAACACCGGCUAACUCCGUGCCAGCAGCCGCGGUAAUUC